rnacentral:rRNA from 1 species
UACAGAGGGGGCAAGCGUUAUUCGGAAUUAUUGGGCGUAAAGGGCGCGUAGGCGGCUUUGCAAGUGACGGGUGAAAUCCCUCGGCUUAACCGAGGAACUGCCUGUCAAACUGCAUGGCUUGAGACCGGGAGAGGUGAGUGGAAUUCCCAGUGUAGCGGUGAAAUGCGUAGAUAUCGUAAGGAAGACCAGUGGCGAAGGCGAAUCUCUGGACAGUUACUGACACUGAGGCACGAAGGCCAGGGGAGCAAACGGG